rnacentral:rRNA from 1 species
GCAAGUCGAACGCUGAAGCUUGGUGCUUGCACUGGGUGGAUGAGUGGCGAACGGGUGAGUAAUACGUGAGUAACCUGCUCUUGACUCUGGGAUAAGCCUGGGAAACUGGGUCUAAUACUGGAUACGACAUGCCACUGCAUGGUGGUGUGUGGAAAGGGUUUUACUGGUUUUGGAUGGGCUCACGGCCUAUCAGCUUGUUGGUGGGGUAAUGGCCUACCAAGGCGUCGACGGGUAGCCGGCCUGAGAGGGUGGAC